rnacentral:snoRNA from 1 species
UUCCAAUGAUGAAGAUCAAUGGAAAAUGUGUUAGGCAUGAAACAUUGAUGAUUAUUAUACCAUACUGCCUUCCUUCUGAGGAA